rnacentral:miRNA from 1 species
CAAAGUUGAUCGUGUUUAUGACGUCGAAUAUCGACGUCAUAAACAUCUAAGUUGGUCGUGUUUAUGACGUCGAAUAUCGACGUCAUAAACAUCAAAG